GCCCUCGGUGGCUCAGAUGGAUAGAGCGUCUGCCGUGUAAGCAGGAGAUUUCGGGUUCGAGUCCCGGUCGGGGCA
rnacentral:tRNA from 1 species